rnacentral:rRNA from 1 species
UGAACGCUAGCGGCAGGCUAACACAUGCAAGUCGAGGGGCGAGCGGGAGUGUAGCAAUACAUUGCCGGCGACCGGCGGAUGGGUGCGUAACGCGUAUGCAACCUACCUUAUACAGGGGAAUAACCUUUCGAAAGGGAGACUAACACCCCAUGGUAUUGAUUUAAGGCAUCUUAGAUUAAUUAAAUAUUUAUAGGUAUAAGAUGGGCAUGCGUAUGAUUAGCUAGUUGGUAAGGUAACGGCUUACCAAGGCGACGAUCAUUAGGGGUUCUGAGAGGAAGGUCCCCCACACUGGUACUGAGACACGGACCAGACUCCUACGGGAGGCAGCAGUGAGGAAUAUUGGUCAAUGGGCGCAAGCCUGAACCAGCCAUGCCGCGUGCAAGGAAGACGGCCUUAUGGGUUGUAAACUGCUUUUACAUAAGACUAACCGUAUAUUUGCGAAUAUACCUGAAUGUAUUAUGAGAAUAAGGAUCGGCUAACUCCGUGCCAGCCGCGGC